CACACCACAACACAAUGUUAACCUCAUCCACAGGUAUCACUACCAUGUACAGUACCAGUCAACUCUGAACUCAGGUAGUCCUUCUCCAGACUACACACCACAACACAAUGUUAACCUCAUCCACAGGUAUCACUACCAUGUACAGUACCAGUCAACUCUGAACUCAGGUAGUCCUUCUCCAGACUACACACCACAACACAAUGUUAACCUCAUCCACAGGUAUCACUACCAUGUACAGUACCAGUCAACUCUGAACUCAGGUAGUCCUUCUCCAGACUACACACCACAACACAAUGUUAACCUCAUCCACAGGUAUCACUACCAUGUACAGUACCAGUCAACUCUGAACUCAGGUAGUCCUUCUCCAGACUACACACCACAACACAAUGUUAAC